rfam:Flavobacterium sp. ov086 genome assembly, contig: Ga0070134_101
AGUGAACUUCGUUUGAAGUGAAAAUCCUUUUAUUUUUGCUGCCAAAAAUAAAAGAUUGAAACGAAAAGUGGGAAAUUAU